rnacentral:rRNA from 1 species
GACGAACCGUACGAACGUUAUUCGGAAUCGACUGGGCUUAAAGGGUGCGUAGGCGGCGCGACAAGUUGGGUGUGAAAUCCCUCGGGCUCAACCGAGGAACUGCGCCCAAAACUGUCGUGCUCGAGGGAGACAGAGGUGAGCGGAACUUAGGGUGGAAGCGGUGAAAUGCGUUGAUAUCCUAAAGGACACCGGUGGCGAAAGCGGCUCACUGGGUCGUCUUCUGAACGGCUGAGGCACGGAAAGCUAGGGUAGCGAACGGG